rnacentral:rRNA from 1 species
UACAGAGGUCUCAAGCGUUGUUCGGAUUCAUUGGGCGUAAAGGGUGCGUAGGUGGCGGGGUAAGUCGGAUGUGAAAUCUCAGGGCUCAACCCUGAAACUGCAUUCGAUACUGCCUUGCUCGAGGACUGGAGAGGAGAUUGGAAUUCACGGUGUAGCAGUGAAAUGCGUAGAUAUCGUGAGGAAGACCAGUGGCGAAGGCGGUUCUCUGGGCCUGUACUGACGCUGAGGAGCGAAAGCGUGGGGAGCAAACAGG